rnacentral:rRNA from 1 species
ACCGCCCGUCACACCAUGGGAGUCGGGAAUGCCCGAAGUCAGUGACCCAACCUUUGGAGGGAGCUGCCGAAGGCAGGUCUGAUAACUGGGGUGAAGUCGUAACAAGGUACC